rnacentral:rRNA from 1 species
GUCUAUGGCCAUACCACCCCGAACGUGUCUGAUCUUGAAGCUAAGUAGGGUUGGGCCUGGUUAGUACUUGGAGGGAGAAAACAUGCACCAUGGGAC